rnacentral:rRNA from 1 species
AACUUAAGCAUAUCAAUAAGCGGAGGAAAAGAAACCAACAGGGAUUGCCCUAGUAACGGCGAGUGAAGCGGCAACAGCUCAAAUUUGAAAUCUGGCCCUCGGGUCCGAGUUGUAAUUUGUAGAGGAUGCUUUUGGUGCGGUGCCUUCCGAGUUCCCUGGAACGGGACGCCAUAGAGGGUGAGAGCCCCGUCUGGUUGGACACCAAUCCUCUGUAAAGCUCCUUCGACGAGUCGAGUAGUUUGGGAAUGCUGCUCUAAAUGGGAGGUAUAUGUCUUCUAAAGCUAAAUAUUGGCCAGAGACCGAUAGCGCACAAGUAGAGUGAUCGAAAGAUGAAAAGCACUUUGAAAAGAGAGUUAAACAGUACGUGAAAUUGUUGAAAGGGAAGCGCUUAUGACCAGACUUGGGCUUGGUAGAUCAACCUGGGUUCUCCCUGGUGCACUCUUCCUCGUCCAGGCCAGCAUCAGUUCGCUGCGGGGGAUAAAGGCUUCGGGAAUGUGGCUCCCUCGGGAGUGUUAUAGCCCGUUGCGUAAUACCCUGCGGUGGACUGAGGUUCGCGUUCUGCAAGGAUGCUGGCGUAAUGGUCAUCAGCGACCCGUCUUGAAACACGGACCAAGGAGUCGUCUUCGUAUGCGAGUGUUCGGGUGUUAAACCCCUACGCGUAAUGAAAGUGAACGCAGGUGAGAGCUUCGGCGCAUCAUCGACCGAUCCUGAUGUUCUCGGAUGGAUUUGAGUAAGAGCAUACGGGGCCGGACCCGAAAGAAGGUGAACUAUGCCUGUAUAGGGUGAAGCCAGAGGAAACUCUGGUGGAGGCUCGCAGCGGUUCUGACGUGCAAAUCGAUCGUCAAAUAUGGGCAUGGGGGCGAAAGACUAAUCGAA